UACAGAGGUCCCAAGCGUUGUUCGGAUUCACUGGGCGUAAAGGGUGCGUAGGCGGUCGGGUAAGUCUGAUGUGAAAUCUCACAGCUUAACUGUGAAACUGCAUUGGAUACUAUCCGGCUCGAGGAAUGGAGGGGAGACUGGAAUACUUGGUGCAGCGGUGAAAUGCGCAGAUAUCAAGUGGAACACCAGUGGCGAAGGCGAGUCCCUGGACAUUUCCUGACGCUGAGGCACGAAAGCCAGGGGAGCAAACGGG
rnacentral:rRNA from 1 species